CUGAAGAGUCCAAACUGUCAGCUGGAGAUUCUGAGGUUGUCUGGCUGUAUGGUGACAGAGGAGGGAUGUUGUUAUGUGUCUUCAGCUCUGACUUCAAACCCCUCACACUUGAGAGAGCUGGAUCUAAGCUAUAAUCACCCGGGAGAUUCAGGAGUCAAGCUGCUCUCUAAAAAACUGGCGGAUCCAAACUGCUCACUGGACAAAUUCAAUGUGGAUCAUGGAGGAGAAUCCAGGAUUACAGCAGGACUACAGAAAUGUAUGUCUAAACACACACAUACACACACACUCUCUCUCUCUCGCUCUCUC